rnacentral:rRNA from 1 species
GGACGCAUCACUGGUGUUCGGGUUGUCAUGCCAAUGGCACUGCCCGGUAGCUAAAUGCGGAAGAGAUAAGUGCUGAAAGCAUCUAAGCACGAAACUUGCCCCGAGAUGAGUUCUCCCUGAGACUUUAAGUCUCCUGAAGGAACGUUGAAGACGACGACGUUGAUAGGCCGGGUGUGUAAGCGCAGCGAUGCGUUGAGCUAACCGGUACUAAUGAACCGUGAGGCUUAACCUUACAACGCCACAG